rnacentral:tRNA from 1 species
GGGGUUGUAGCUCAGUGGUAAAGCGCUUGCCUAGCAUGUGUGAAGCACUGGGUUCAAUUCUCAGCACCACUU